rnacentral:rRNA from 1 species
UAGGGAAUCUUCGGCAAUGGGGGCAACCCUGACCGAGCAACGCCGCGUGAGUGAAGAAGGUUUUCGGAUCGUAAAGCUCUGUUGUAAGUCAAGAACGAGUGUGAGAGUGGAAAGUUCACACUGUGACGGUAGCUUACCAGAAAGGGACGGCUAACUACGUGCCAGCAGCCGCGGUAAUACGUAGGUCCCGAGCGUUGUCCGGAUUUAUUGGGCGUAAAGCGAGCGCAGGCGGUUUGAUAAGUCUGAAGUUAAAGGCUGUGGCUCAACCAUAGUUCGCUUUGGAAACUGUCAAACUUGAGUGCAAGAGGGGAGAGUGGAAUUCCAUGUGUAGCGGUGAAAUGCGUAGAUAUAUGGAGGAACACCGGUGGCGAAAGCGGCUCUCUGGCUUGUAACUGACGCUGAGGCUCGAAAGCGUGGGGAGCAAACAGGAUUAGAUACCCUGGUAGUCCACGCCGUAAACGAUGAGUGCUAGGUGUUAGACCCUUUCCGGGGUUUAGUGCCGCAGCUAACGCAUUAAGCACUCCGCCUGGGGAGUACGACCGCAAGGUUG